CGCCUAACACAUGCAAGUCGAACGCAGUAGCAAUACUGAGUGGCAAACGGGUGAGUAUAAUGUGGGAAUCUGCCUUUUGGUUUGGAAUAACACGGGGAAACUUGUGCUAAUACCGAAUAAGCCCUUACGGGGAAAGUUUUAAUGCCGAAAGAUGAGCCCGCACUUGAUUAGCUAGUUGGUAAGGUAAAAGCUUACCAAGGCAACGAUCAAUAGCUGUUCUUAGAGGAAGACCAGCCACAUUGGGACUGAGACACGGCCCAGACUCCUACGGGAGGCAGCAGUGGGGAAUCUUGCACAAUGGGGGAAACCCUGAUGCAGCGAUGCCGCGUGAGUGAAGAAGGCCUUUGGGUUGUAAAACUCUUUCGUCGGGGAAG
rnacentral:rRNA from 1 species